UACGAAGGGGGCUAGCGUUGCUCGGAAUCACUGGGCGUAAAGGGUGCGUAGGCGGGUCUUUAAGUCAGGGGUGAAAUCCUGGAGCUCAACUCCAGAACUGUCCUUUGAUACUGAAGAUCUUGAGUGCGGGAGAGGUGAGUGGAACUGCGAGUGUAGAGGUGAAAUUCGUAGAUAUUCGCAAGAACACCAGUGGCGAAGGCGGCUCACUGGCCCGAUACUGACGCUGAGGCACGAAAGCGUGGGGAGCAAACGGG
rnacentral:rRNA from 1 species